rnacentral:rRNA from 1 species
UGGGGAAUAUUGAACAAAGGGCGCAAGCCUGAUGCAGCCAUGCCGCGUGUAUGAAGAAGGCCUUCGGGUUGUAAAGUACUUUCAGCGGGGAGGAAGGCGAUGCGGUUAAUAACCGUGUCGAUUGACGGUACCCGCAGAAGAAGCACCGGCUAACUCAGUGACAGCAGCCGCGGUAAUACGGAGGGUGCAAGCGUUAAUCGGAAUUACUGGGCGUAAAGCGCACGCAGGCGGUCUGUCAAGUCGGAUGUGAAAUCCCCGGGCUCAACCUGGGAACUGCAUCCGAAACUGGCAGGCUUGAGUCUUGUAGAGGGGGGUAGAAUUCCAGGUGUAGCGGUGAAAUGCGUAGAGAUCUGGAGGAAUACCGGUGGCGAAGGCGGCCCCCUGGACAAAGACUGACGCUCAGGUGCGAAAGCGUGGGGAGCAAACA